CACGUAGGGUGCAAGCGUUAAUCGGAAUUACUGGGCGUAAAGCGUGCGCAGGCGGUCCGUUAAGACAGAUGUGAAAUCCCCGGGCUUAACCUGGGAACUGCAUUUGUGACUGGCAGACUCGAGUAUGGCAGAGGGGGGUAGAAUUCCACGUGUAGCAGUGAAAUGCGUAGAGAUGUGGAGGAAUACCGAUGGCGAAGGCAGCCCCCUGGGCCAAUACUGACGCUCAUGCACGAAAGCGUGGGGAGCAAACAGG
rnacentral:rRNA from 1 species